rnacentral:rRNA from 1 species
GACGAACGCUGGCGGCGUGCUUAACACAUGCAAGUCGAACGGUAAGGCCCUUUCGGGGGUACACGAGUGGCGAACGGGUGAGUAACACGUGGGUGAUCUGCCCUGCACUUCGGGAUAAGCCUGGGAAACUGGGUCUAAUACCGGAUAGGACCCUGGGAUGCAUGUCCUGGGGUGGAAAGCUUUUGCGGUGUGGGAUGGGCCCGCGGCCUAUCAGCUUGUUGGUGGGGUGAUGGCCUACCAAGGCGACGACGGGUAGCCGGCCUGAGAGGGUGACCGGCCACACUGGGACUGAGAUACGGCCCAGACUCCUACGGGAGGCAGCAGUGGGGAAUAUUGCACAAUGGGCGCAAGCCUGAUGCAGCGACGCCGCGUGAGGGAUGACGGCCUUCGGGUUGUAAACCUCUUUCAGCACCGACGAAGCGCAAGUGACGGUAGGUGCAGAAGAAGGACCGGCCAACUACGUGCCAGCCGCCGCGGUAA